rnacentral:lncRNA from 1 species
AAAACCAUUUUCAAAUAUUUGACCGUUUGAACAAAAUAGAAGCACGCAGUUGACAAAUUCGUAGCUCCGCUCCAAAAACUGAUAUCGCUGUUCUGUAAAUUGCAUCCGUUAGAUCAUCUAAAGCGGGCAAAUUAGGUAGAUUAAUGUACAGCUUACGUUAAUUUGCUACCACGU